CAGGCCUAACACAUGCAAGUCGAACGGUCACUUCGGUGAUAGUGGCGGACGGGUGAGUAAUACAUAGAUAAUCUGCCUUAAAGUGGGGGACAGCUAGCCGAAAUGUUAGCUAAUCCCGCAUAAUGUAUUUAACUGGAAUGUUGAUUAAGAAAGGGGUUUAUUCGCUUAUAGAGGAGUCUAUGGUUGAUUAGCUAGUUGGUAGGGUAAUGGCUUACCAAGGCGACGAUCAAUAGCUGGUCUGAGAGGACGAUCAGCCACACUGGGACUGAGACACGGCCCAGACUUCUACGGAAGGCAGCAGUGGGGAAUUUUCCGCAAUGGACGAAAGUCUGACGGAGCGACACCGCGUGGAGGAUGAAGUUUUUAGGAAUGUAAACUCCUUUUGGCAGGGAUGAACACAAUGACAGUACCUGCAGAAUAAGCAUCGGCUAACUACGGGCCAGCAGCCGCGGUAAU
rnacentral:rRNA from 1 species